AGUGAACGCUGGCGGUAGGCCUAACACAUGCAAGUCGAGCGGCAGCACAGGAGAGCUUGCUCUCUGGGUGGCGAGUGGCGGACGGGUGAGGAAUACAUCGGAAUCUACCUUUUCGUGGGGGAUAACGUAGGGAAACUUACGCUAAUACCGCAUACGACCUACGGGUGAAAGUGGGGGACCGCAAGGCCUCACGCGAUUAGAUGAGCCGAUGUCCGAUUAGCUAGUUGGCGGGGUAAUGGCCCACCAAGGCGACGAUCGGUAGCUGGUCUGAGAGGAUGAUCAGCCACACUGGAACUGUGACACGGUCCAGACUCCUACGGGAGUCAGCAGUGGGGAAUAUUGGACAAUGGGCGCAAGCCUGAUCCAGCCAUACCGCGUGGGUGAAGAAGGCCUUCGGGUUGUAAAGCCCUUUUGUUGGGAAAGAAAUCCUGUCGAUUAAUACUCGGUGGGGAUGACGGUACCCAAAGAAUAAGCACCGGCUAACUUCGUGCCAGCCGCCGCGGUAAAAC
rnacentral:rRNA from 1 species